UUUGGUGUGAACUUGUUGGGCUGAAUGGCCUGUUUCCACACUGUCAGGAUUCUAUAAUAUUGGGUCAAUAAGAGGUGAUUGCUUUGAAGUCAAGAGGGGGGAUGUGCAGAAAUGUUUUCUCCAUGCAGUAGGAUCUAGAAUGCUCUCCCUGUAAAUAUGGUGGAAGCUGAUUUCAUCAAUAACCAAGAGGGAAUUAGUCAAGUCUGAAUCAGAGAAACGUACAGUAUUAAGGGUUAAAUAGAUGUGAAAGCUCACACAGGCUCUAUGCUGUAAGGAUCUAUAAUUCUCCAAUAUUUAUGUUUCCUCACAUCAACAACAUCAUACUGAAUUGGUCCUGCACUUUCUCUAUUAUCUCAAAACGUCCUCCCAUAGAAUAGGGACUAAAAAUUAUCAAAUUACGAUUACUGUACCUUUAUCUUCUACACACCAUCUUUUAAUGCCAUACACGCUAUGACUUUUUUCACCCGAGAGUCAGUUGACUGUCUCAUGAAUAUGCACCAACAAUUCAUUUUUCUUCUCUACAUCAAUUAGCUUUCCCUCAUCUAAAUUAUGAUGAGUGAUUUUCUCCAAUUCAGUUUUGCACCCACAUAUCUAUUUACAUUGAAUUCAAUCUUCUUAACAAUAUUUAAUUCACAACCUUAUUUCCUUACAAUAUCCUUUGAUGAUCAGAUUUACUUUCAGCAUUUCCUAGUUUCCAGAGCACCUGGAGAUUUGGACAUGUGUUCCUCUAGCCCAGAGUCUGUGAGAUACUACUCUCCAUUUCUAUCAUUCUCAGCAGCUUUUUUUUUUGCACUGUUCCCUUGCUCUGCCAGUUUUAGACAAUAGACUACCUUCUCCCUAAUUAUUUAUUCUCAAUAGUCUCCUGUCAAAGUCUUUCUCAAAGUCCAUGUAGACAUCAUCCACUGCAUUUCUGCCCAAAUAUAUUCAUCACCUCAAAGAUCUCAACUAGGUUUAUCUAGUUCAGAUUUCAUUUUUUUUUUACGUUUAGUUUGGCUGUUUCUAAUUAUUUUCACUCCAUUUAGAUAUCUAGUCAUUUCAUAUUUAAUUAAAGAUUGUAAAUUUUGCUGUGUUGCAGAUGUUACCAAAUGGCUUGUAAUUAUCCAGGUUAAUUCUAUCUCUUUUUUUUUGGAAAUGGCUCUGGCAUUGGCCAAUUUCCAACCUUCUGGCAUGGAUUCAAUUUCAAUUGAACCCUGAAAAGCUGUUGGAGCAGGGGUGGAGCGAAUGGAAAUGGUGGUAGUGUUUUAUCCUACCCAGCAGAAACUGGAUGGUUGAGGUUGCAGGACUGAUCCACUCCAGCCCUGAUCUGGUCAACUGAAAUGUUAAUUUACAGACAGCAAAUAUAAGCACACAAAUUUUCACGUGUGUGUCUGACAGCAGCUGUGGAGUGAAGAGCAAAGUUCAUGUUUCAAGUCUGGUAUAACUUCUUCAGCACUGUCCUGAACAGGACUGAUAUCAGACUCAAAUAUUAAUCUUGUUUCUCUCUCCACAACUGCUACUAGACAUGCUGAGUUUCUCUAUCAUUUUCUGUGUCUGUUUCUUUUUCCAGCAUCCAUUAGUAUUUUGCCUUUAUUUGGGAUCAGAUGAUAUCUUUUGGGACUCAACUGUUUUCACUGGGAUCUGAGCUGCAUUUAUGUCUUUCCUGCCAGGCUAAAUAACUGGAAACUGGAUCCACAGUCACAGAAGAGGCAUAGACAAGAUAAGGAAGCAGGAUGUGAUUUACACAUGGGAGCUACCCAGUACAAGGGCCAUUCGAACACUGUGCUGUCAGUAUUAAAGACACCCCAUUUUCACUGGAACAAGGUAUAGAUUUUCUGAUUAUUCUCACUUGGAAUGCCAACAAGGCUGUGUGAAUCUGAUUGAGGAGACUGGGUAAAUAGAUUACUCUAUCAAAAUACUUUGAUUCGAAAUUGAUUGCAUAGCAAGAAGCAGCUUGGAUAUCUUACAAGGAUGAGAUUAGAUGAGCCGGAUUACGAAGAGACUCAUGUGGAAUGUGAAUGGUAGCCGUGACUGCGUGGUCUGAAUGGCUUGAUACUGUCCUUGAGGACCUACUUUUAUAUAAAAUUGUAUUAGAGCCAUAAAUGUGAUGCAUUGAUAUCACUGGUCAAUCUCAACAUGGAGAGUCCUUACGUAGAAUAGGAUUAUCUGUCAUUUUUCAUCAGAUAUUUCACAUGGUUUCAAUGUUACAUCUAUUGGUGAAGUAUUUUAUUUUCAUUUUGGAUUAAUUAAUGCUUUCUGCCAGCAAUACAAAUGCAACUCCCUAAUUUGGAUAAACACAAAAAACUGCAGUUACCGGAAAUCAGAAACAAAAACAUGAGAGUGCUGGAGAAGCACAAACAGCAGACCCGACAAAGGGUCACUGCACUAGAUACAUUAAUUCUAGUAUUUCCUUGACAAAUGCUGCUAGACCUGCUGAGUUUCUCCAGCACUCACUAUUUGGUUUUUGGAAGUUGAAUUUGUGCACGUAUGUAGGAAAACAGAGAGCACAUGUCGCUGGGCCUAUGGAAAAUGUGGAACUGCUAACACAUCUUCACAUCAUUCUGAGCAAGUGUACAUCUCAAACCUCUAUUGAAUUACAGCCAUACCAUUCAUCAAAAACUAAUGGAUGCAAUACAAAUCUUAGGCAUUCAUUGACAUGUGAAAUCAAGAUUAUUCUGAGUGCUAUUGUUUAAAAGGAAAUUGGCGUUUAUCACCAGAAUAGGAGCUAUAGUUACCCUAAUGCACUUGUAUGGAAUGGUCUGCCUGUAAAACACAUAAGACAACACUUUUCACUGUACCUCGGUACACAUGACAGUAAUAAAUCAAAUCAAAUCAAAUUCAAUCAAAUCAAAUCAAUAGUAAUGCUGAGGGAAGAGAGAAAGAUGGUGACUUCUGCCUAGCAUGUUCCAUGGGUUCAAUGAUUUUAGAAGCUGGAAUGUGCAGAUGCUUAAAACAGAACAUUCAAGAUAUGUGUCUUCCCUGUGGAUAUGCAAACUAGCAUCAUCAAGCCAGAUAUCUGAAGUGUUUAGGGGCCUGCUGUUGGAGUACAUUUGUGGAUUCAUUAGGCCUCACCUCAACCAAGGUCAGCCAUUACACUUACAUAUUAUUUAUUAUAUUUAAAUGUGUUUCCAUUUUAUCCAAACAAAGGAAAAUCACAGAAAAACAAAGCAGCAAGCUUGUAUCCUGUAGGGGAAGGCUAACCAUUAUUUCAAAUAUAUUGCUGCAGUAGUCUGAGUCUGGUUUAGGCUCAAAACUAGAAGCAUUCAUAAAAUCUGAUUGCGCUGUCUAUUUUAACCAGAUGCUGCAUAAAGUGGAUGUUCAGAAAUAGGACAUACCGUACCACGUUGUGCAACUAAAAUACAGUAACUACGUGACUCAUGAUCUUAUUGUUCUCAUACUGCAAAGAACAUUUAGUCCAAACUAACAGUGAAGUCAUUAUAAAUGCCGGAAAAGUCCCUGCAAAUCAUUACGUUGCAUUAAUUUGAUAACAAUGCAAGAGGUUUGGGUUAUUCUAGUAAAAGAACGCCCACAGUUAUGUAUUGUUGUCUGUCAGUGCUAGCACUGUCUGCACUAUGUUUUGACUGGGUCACACGCAGAUAUAAGAAACUGCCUUAGAACCACAUUCAAAUGUGAGAUGAAUAUUUAUGAACAUGUACUUUGAGUGUGCCAAAUAAAUUAAUAUGCUUUGACUGUUAUAUUUAUAUUUUCCCAUUAAACAUUAAAGCUAUUCCCUUGUUGACCAUUUGAUAAAGUUGCAGUUUCAUGUGCUUUGCUUUCACAUUUUCUGCUUUAUUUUUACAAGAACAACUUGGAUAGCAGUAAACUGUGUUCAAGAACCUUGCGAUCAGUACCAUGUAAUUUUAACCCAUAGACACAUUCUCUAUGGACAGAUGAAAGAUUAGGACACAUAUGGUUUAAGUUCAUGUUUGACAUAACAAUUUAUCACACUGCUCCCCUAACGCUCCCCCCACCCUCCACAACCCCCAACACAUGGAACUUUUCCCCUUUGCUCUGUUGUUUUGUUCUUAACAUCCUGAAACUUUCAAAAGGAUAUCUGUGCAGAACCAUUGCUGGAUUAACUUGCGCAAAUUUAUUUAAAUGUUAUUACAGGGAACGCCAUGUUUACAUGAGAACAAUAAUGAAUAAGAUUAGUUCUCAAUCUCUUCAUACACUCUGG